AUUGAACGCUGGCGGCAGGCCUAACACAUGCAAGUCGAACGAGUGGCGGACGGGUGAGUAAUGUCUGGGGAUCUGCCCGAUAGAGGGGGAUAACUACUGGAAACGGUGGCUAAUACCGCAUACCAUCGGAUGUACCCAGAUGGGAUUAGCUUGUAGGUGGGGUAACGGCUCACCUAGGCGACGAUCCCUAGCUGGUCUGAGAGGAUGAUCAGCCACACUGGAACUGAGACACGGUCCAGAAUCCUACGGGAGGAAGCAGUGGGGAAUAUUGCACAAUGGGCGCAAGCCUGAUGCAGCCAUGCCGCGUGUAUGAAGAAGGCCUUAGGGUUGUAAAGUACUUGCAGCGGGGAGGCGUUACCCGCAGAAGAAGCACCGGCUAACUCCGUGCCAGCAGCCGCGGUAAUAC
rnacentral:rRNA from 1 species